UGCAUGCUUAAUUCACUCAUUUUUUGUGUGUAGUAGGAGUAGUUGCUAGAAAUUUACUGAAUUUUGUUUCCAGUAGAUGCACUAAAUUUCAAAGAAAGAGUACUCUAGGAGUACAUGGAGUUGAUGCACUGAAUUUAGUUUGCAGUAGAUGCACUGAAAUUUACUGAAUUUUGUUUGCAGUAGGAGUAUUUGCAGUUCUGAACUGCUAGGAGUACUUGUAGAAGCACUUUGCUGGUGCACCGUGCAUAUAACUUGAGCAAAGUGUCCUCUGAAUUUAUAUGCACCUAGCACUUCUGUUCAUGCCCUCAUCUGUUCAUGGCCCAGGAGUAAAAGAAAAGGAACAAACAUAAAUAAGCUACUUCUAUACCAUUAAUCCAGUGAGGUAUAUCAUUGUUGCUUUGACCAUCUGUACCAUCAAUUAUCGAAGAACCAAUGGCCACAUUUCAUUUUGAUCAACAGCGACUAAUUAACUUGAGAUGCAAAUAACCAAUUGGUGUAACUGGAGUUCUAAUACCAAAGAUACUCAUCGGUCAAAAAAAUGACAUAGUAAACAAAAAUAAAUAACAUUGACUGUGCCUGAUUUGGGGCCACAUCAUAAAUAUUUCUCUAAUGUAGAACACUCCAAUGGAGUCUAGUUUUACAAGAAUGGAGUGAUCAAGGCAAUGUGCAAUAUUUGUGCAGGAAAACAAAGCCUGGUUUAGAUGUAGUAGAUGAUUGAUUACAAAACAACAAAAGAAUAAUAUACAUACGCAAACCAGCAAAACAAUAAAUAAUGUCACAUACAACAAAAUUUAGCAACUUGCAAAGUCACAAAUCCGAGGCAAUAUUAUUAAUACUUGCCUUAUAUUAUUUACAUAAUAAAGUUCAAUUGCCAACAUCAAAAGAUAGAGAUAUGUACAAAGACACCAAAGAGCACCAAAUUACCUGUAGCAUAAGAGUAAAUCCUCUCACAUAUUUAAGAGCGGAGUUCAGCCUGUAAGGACUUCCUUAUAGACGAUUUUCAGGCAGGUCUUUUCGCUUCUUAGAUUUACCGCUUUGCUUCUUGGCAUUCUCCUUCUCCUUCUUAAUGAGGAUCUUUAUAUUUCUCUUUGCGGUGGCUCGAGACAAUGCGACAUAGAGUUGACCAUGAGAGAACACCGGAUUAGGUAGGUACAUGCCAACAAUCGGAAUCGUCUGUCCUUGAGCCUUGGUAUUCGAGGAAGGAAUACCCUCCUACCUGCGGGUUAUCCGAUCAUGAUUUCUGCGUCGAUGGCGUUCCUCUCGAAACCUCGCACCACAAGCCUUGUCCCGUUACACAGACCAUUAGCUGGAUCAAUAUUCCUCAGAAGUAUGACAGGGCAGUUGAGCUUCAGUUUGAGUGCAUGCGGAAGCAGACCGUUGGGAGUCAAUCCAUUUAGGAACUCAGGAGCGUAGUAGCCAUACGGGGCGUCUUCUGCACUGUCAAAGCUAUGGUAGAUUACUUCUUCUCCCCGAAAAUGCUCUACCAUGCGUAUGUUUAUCUUGUCGACGUUGUCAUUCGUGGUGGAGAGGAUUGCACGUGAAGUCAUGUAAUUCGGAUCGGACAUGUUGUCAUCUAGUCUCGGAAACACAUGGUCAAUCAGCUUCUCUAGGUCGUCACCCUCGCCUGUAGACGGCACACAAAUAUCUUCAGGGAGUCGUAUGUUUCCUUGAUCAUCAACUUCCUCGGUGCCAUUGCCUACUCUUAGCAAGUAAUCCGCAAACCAGGUGUCAUUAUGAGCCCUCAUGUUCGUGACGACCUUAGCUGGCGCAUACCCUUCCAGAGGUGUGAACUUCGGAGGGCCCGAAGAACAUUUUGCACAACUGCUUCAAGAUCAACGGUAACCUCAUCAUCUUUCUUCCGAUAAGCUGCCCACCUCUGCGUGUUUAUUAUCUCCCUCUUUUCAUUGUUAUUAUGUUGCAUGCUAGCUAGUUAAUUGUCAUUGAAGGAGCAACAUGUGAGACUUGUCGAACCAAAAAAGCAUGAUGUAUUAAUUGUUCAUCUGUACUGAUUAAAAAACAAACAUUCAUACCUGACAUUGUAAGGGAAGUUUGAAUGUCACCAUGGAGUUUGACCGCAUCAUUCUCUUUUUCUUCCGAUAAGCAGCUCGUCUCCUGGCAUUUAUCUGCUCCCUUUUUUUCGUCAGACAAGUUACCUUGCGUAGUUUGUUUGGCGACAUUCACUCCAGAUGCCGUAGUCAUGUAAUCGGAUGUUGCAUCAGACACGGGUCAAACUUGUAAGGCAUCACGCAUUAACGCAUUAAUCCCCACAUGUCUUCCUCCAUCUAUAUGAGAUGCAUCUAGAGCUCUGGAACAACACAAAAGCCAUAAGCUGGGUUAAUACCCCUGUGGGCAUGAUAUACGGUUUACGUAGAAAUGCCGCCGUCAGUUAAUACCAUUUGAAGUUUGUGCUACAUCUGUGGCACAAACUUGUGUGAGACAACUGGGAGGCACAAACGAAGGUUCUUCCCAUUUUGUGGGGCUGUCUGCUUGAUGUAAAAAUAACAGUUAUUGGAUAGAACAAGUCUGUGUACUGCUAACUGAAGAGCGUCAAUUAAGCAUUUUAUGUUUAAUACUCACCUGAAAUCAGAUGGGAAGGUCGUUGAACAUUUGUGCUAUCACCAUCAGUGGGCUGGGGAAGAACCAGUAGUUUGGUCUGUUCAAGUAUCCUCUGUUUUGAAGGAUGUUCGUACAACCAUGGGUAGAAUUGAUCACAUUAAAAGCAUAAACUUAUGAUUACUAUAUCCGCACAAACUCAUACCUGGACUACUUGGGUAAAUCUCAUGACCAUUUGUCCCCUCCAUCUGAUCUGCAACAACUUCAUUACUCAUCAGCAAAGCAGCGCGGGAUAGUGCUUGACAUGUAUAGCAAGUUUUAUAAACAAAGUUAUACCUGGAGGUACAUCUGACAAAGUCAUUUGUUCCGCUGCUUUGCUUUGUGGAUUCCUCAUGUACCUAUGAACUGACAGCAAAAAAAUAGAGAUUCAUCAGAUCGUGCCAAAGUACUUCAAGAUGGCUAAUGGUUUGUGAUCUGAUUUUUAUGAAUGGACUUUCUUAUCUAUGAUAUUGCAAACAGGUAAGUACAGAUUGCCAACAGUUGCUGAAGAGCACAAACACUUGAUGUGUGUAUUGUACUUCAUAUAUAGAUUUUGGUUGUCACCAUUUUCAGUAGGGAUUUUGCUUAGUUACUUCAUAUAGACUUCAUAUAACUUACCUGUUUGCAUUCAGUACUUCAUAUACACUUCAUGUGAAAUUUCAGUACUUCAUAUAGACUUCAUAUAACUUACCUGUUUGCAUUCAGUUUUCUGGGUAGACUGAGUCUCCUAUGGAAGUAUACUAAGCAAACUUGAUUUUUCACACCUGAUUUUGCUUAGGUACUUGCAUGAAUUACUUACCUGUUUGCAUUCAGUUUUCUGGGUACCCAGAUUUUCCUCUUGAAGUAUAAUAAGAACAACUGAUUUUCCUCUUGAAGUAUACAUUCAGUUUCCUGAUUUUCUGGGUAACCUGAAUUACUAUUCCUGUCCUUUUGCAGCACAAGAGAUCUACCCCAGCACCGCUUCCCCAUAUCUGGUGGUUCCUUUGGCUUCCUCCAUGGCGGCUGAGAAGAUGGGUCACCAAUUUGCUCCACUGUACCUCAUGGCCAAUUUGCACCAGCAUUAACGAGGUCGUAGCCAGGCUAAAUUUGGAGGACACCAAGGGUCGUAUACCUAUUGAUCUUCUCUCUGGCCCUGUACCACAGGCUAAUGUGGAUUCUCCCAAUUCAGUUGGAACGGAAGUCUUCAGUUGGGGAAGUGGACCAAACUAUCAACUGGGAACUGGCAAUGCCCACAUACAAAAAGUGUUUUAUUAGAUACUGCAUGUCUGCUUAUCUCUCAAUAUCCGGAUGUCCAAGGCGACCAACCUCGUGACAGGCUAAAGUUUAUGGCAUCCUGAGAUGUAAUCCAUCAGGAGCCGUUUUGAUCGAAUAAAGUUUAUUACGUCCAGGUCAUGACCACGAUGAAUCAAGUUUGUACAGAAUGAUUACCCAAGAUAAACAUACGUGUUGGCCCCGGAUGAGAUCUAAGGCAGCAUA